AGUGAACGCUGGCGGUAGGCCUAACACAUGCCAGUCGAACGGCAGCACCGUAAGAGCUUGCUCUUAGGGGUGGCGCGUGGCGGACGGGUGAGGAAUACACCGGAAUCUACUUUUUCGGGGGUGAUAACGUAGGAAAAUUUACGCUAAUACCGCAUACGACCUACGGGUGAAAGCAGGGGAUCUUCUGACUUUUUGGUAGUGAAUGAGCCUAUGUAGGAUUAGCUGGUUGGCGGGGUAAAGGGCCAGCAAGGCGACGAUCCGUAUAAGGUCUGAGAGCAUGAUUCGACACCCUGGAAGUGAGGCAGGGCAGAGACUCUUGCGGGAGGCAGCGGUCGAGAAUAUUGCGCAAUGGGCGAAAGCCUGAUCCAGGCCUAUCGCGUGGAUGAAGAAGGCGCUAGGGUUGUAAAGCCAUUUUGUUGGGAGAGAAGAGAAGCACGUUAAUCCCCCGCUGUAAUGACGGUACCCAAAGAAUAAGCACCGGCUAACUUCGUG
rnacentral:rRNA from 1 species